rnacentral:rRNA from 1 species
UACGUAGGGGGCAAGCGUUGUCCGGAUUUACUGGGCGUAAAGCGUGCGCAGGCGGCUUCCUAAGUCAGAUGUGAAAUCCCCGGGCUUAACCUGGGAACUGCGUUUGAAACUGGGGGGCUAGAGUGCGGCAGAGGGGGGUGGAAUUCCACGUGUAGCAGUGAAAUGCGUAGAUAUGUGGAGGAACACCGAUGGCGAAGGCAGCCCCCUGGGCCUGCACUGACGCUCAUGCACGAAAGCGUGGGGAGCAAACAGG